GGCAGUUGGCCGCCAGCCGCCGCCCGGAGUGAGGGUGUCCGGAGGGACCCCGUCCGCCCCGAGCAGCACGGUGAGCCAUGGCACUGCCGGAGCACCCCGUCACAGCAGCAGCGGAGACGGCGGUAUCGCAGCCCCCGUGUAUCGUCGGCGACUGCACUGGCGGCGGCGGCAGGGAGUCGGAUGGCCGCGGCUGGGUGACCUGACCCGACCAGCGGACUGCAGAGCGCCGCCUCAGGAUACGGGCUCACCACACGUCAGCCCUGCACUGCGCGUCUGCCGUCGGCGGCGGACGACCCCCACCGGACGACCCAUCCGGCCCAGCGCCGCGACGCGAAUCUGGCCGCGGCGGGACGGCGGAGCAGACGACAGGGAGGCCCCACUGACGACCGGAGCUGACCAAGCCGCCCGCGGAGGAGAUCCCUCGGAGACCGGCCGGGACUCACCUGUGACGGCAUCAUGGUUCCGUGCGGCACCGGCUGGCCGGGCGGCGCGUGCGGGGACGACUGUGACGACGGGUGAGACUGCGGC